UGGGGAAUAUUGCACAAUGGGCGAAAGCCUGAUGCAGCAACGCCGCGUGAGGGAUGACGGCCUUCGGGUUGUAAACCUCUUUUGGCAGGGAAGAAGCGCAAGUGACGGUACCUGCAGAAAAAGCACCGGCUAACUACGUGCCAGCAGCCGCGGUAAUACGUAGGGUGCAAGCGUUGUCCGGAAUUAUUGGGCGUAAAGAGCUCGUAGGCGGUUUGUCGCGUCUGCUGUGAAAACGCGAGGCUCAACCUCGCGCCUGCAGUGGGUACGGGCAGACUAGAGUGUGGUAGGGGAGAUUGGAAUUCCUGGUGUAGCGGUGGAAUGCGCAGAUAUCAGGAGGAACACCGAUGGCGAAGGCAGAUCUCUGGGCCAUUACUGACGCUGAGGAGCGAAAGCGUGGGGAGCGAACA
rnacentral:rRNA from 1 species